AAACGAUGUCUACUUGGGAGGUUGUGGCCUUGAGCCGUGGCUUUCGGAGCUAAACGCGUUAAGUAGACCGCNUGGGGAGUACGGUCGCAAGAUUAAAACUCAAAUGAAUUGACGGGGGCCCGCACAAGCGGUGGAGCAUGUGGUUUAAUUCGAUGCAACGCGAAGAACCUUACCUACUCUUGACAUCUACAGAAGCCAGCGGAGACGCAGGUGUGCCUUCGGGAACUGUAAGACAGGUGCUGCAUGGCUGUCGUCAGCUCGUGUUGUGAAAUGUUGGGUUAAGUCCCGCAACGAGCGCAACCCUUAUCCUUGUUUGCCAGCACUUCGGGUGGGAACUCCAGGGAGACUGCCGGUGAUAAACCGGAGGAAGGUGGGGACGACGUCAAGUCAUCAUGGCCCUUACGAGUAGGGCUACACACGUGCUACAAUGGCGCAUACAGAGGGCGGCCAACUUGCGAAAGUGAGCGAAUCCCAAAAAGUGCGUCGUAGUCCGGAUUGGAGUCUGCAACUCGACUCCAUGAAGUCGGAAUCACUAGUAAUCGUGGAUCAGAAUGCCACGGUGAAUACGUUCCCGGGCCUUGUACACACCGCCCGUCACACCAUGGGAGUGGGCUGCAAAAGAAGUGGGUAGUUUAACCUUCGGGAGGACGCUCACCACUUUGUGGUUCAUGACUGGGGUGAAGUCGUAACAAGGUAACCG
rnacentral:rRNA from 1 species